GAAAUGCGAUAAGUAGUGUGAAUUGCAGAAUUCAGUGAAUCAUCGAAUCUUUGAACGCACAUUGCGCCCCUUGGUAUUCCAUGGGGCAUGCCUGUUCGAGCGUCAUUUGUACCCUCAAGCUCUGCUUGGUGUUGGGUGAUUGUCCUGCUUUGGCAUGGAUUCGCCCCAAAUGUAUUGGCAGCUAUUGUAUUAUCCUAGAGCGCAGCACAUUUUUGCGAUCCUAGCAUGUAUGGUAGCGUCCAGCAAGCCUUUUCAACGCUUGACCUCGGAUCAGGUAGGGAUACCCGCUGAACUUAA
rnacentral:misc_RNA from 1 species